rnacentral:misc_RNA from 1 species
UCGUAAAACCGAGGUGCGAGGGCUGUCGCUGACCUUUCGGUCGUGCACGCCCGAGCGCUCUCACACAAUCCAUCUCACCCCUUUGUGCACCACCGCGUGGGUCCCUCUCUGGGUUCGUCCCGAGGGUGGCUUGCGUUUUCACACAAACUUGAAGUAGUGUAGAAUGUCUCUUUUUUGCGAUAACACGCAAUCAAUA